UAUUCCCUGCUGUGUUUGUUAUAAGUUUGGUUAUUUUGAGCCAACAGUAAGAAAAUGGGAGUUCGCAUUUGGUGGGAUAUGCAAUUGCAUUGAACAUUUAAGAGAGCACCCACGUGGCCUUAGCGGCUUCAAAACGACCCUAUUUAGACGGCAUUUGGCGGGGAAUUU
rnacentral:other from 1 species